AUAUCUCUCCGUACGGGAAGGAUGAGAAGCUUCGACUAAGGUUCGAUUCGAGCGCAGCGAGAAAGCGUUGCCGAAGGCAACGACCCGAAGGGCGAAGCGCGCAGCGCUGAGUAAUCCUUCCCCCACCACCA
rnacentral:sRNA from 1 species